GAUGAACGCUAGCGGCAGGCAUAAUACAUGCAAGUUGAACGGGAUAGAUUGAGUUUACUUGAUCUUGAGAGUGGCGCACGGGUGCGUAACACGUAUGCAACUUACCUUGAACUGGGAGAUAGCCCGUGGAAACAUGGAUUAAUAUCCCAUAGUAUAAAGAUGAGGCAUUUCAUUUUUAUUAAAGCUCCGGCGGUUCAAGAUGGGCAUGCGCGUCAUUAGCUAGUUGGUAAGGUAAUGGCUUACCAAGGCUACGAUGACUAGGGGGUCUGAGAGGAUGUCCCCCCACACUGGUACUGAGACACGGACCAGACUCCUACGGGAGGCAGCAGUAGGGAAUAUUGGGCAAUGGACGCAAGUCUGACCCAGCCAUGCCGCGUGCAGGAAGACGGCCCUCUGGGUUGUAAACUGCUUUUAUUAGGGAAGAAACCCUUCUACGUGUAGAAGGCUGACGGUACCUAAGGAAUAAGGAUCGGCUAACUCCGUGCCAGCAGCAGCCGCGGUAA
rnacentral:rRNA from 1 species